rnacentral:rRNA from 1 species
ACGCACGCUGGCGGCCGGCCUCACACCUGCAAGUCGCGCGAGGACUUCGGUCCUAGCGGCGGACGGGUGAGUAACGCGUGGGAACGUGCCCUUUGCUUCGGAAUAGCCCUGGGAAACUGGGAGUAAUACCGGAUGAGCCCUUUGGGGGAAAGAUUUAUCGGCGAAGGAUCGGCCCGCGUUGGAUUAGGUAGUUGGUGGGGUAAUGGCCUACCAAGCCGACGAUCCAUAGCUGGUUUGAGAGGAUGAUCAGCCACACUGGGACUGAGACACGGCCCAGACUCCUACGGGAGGCAGCAGUGGGGAAUCUUAGACAAUGGGGGAAACCCUGAUCUAGCCAUGCCGCGUGAGCGAUGAAGGCCUUAGGGUUGUAAAGCUCUUUCAGCUGGGAAGAUAAUGACGGUACCAGCAGAAGAAGCCCCGGCUAACUCCGUG